CUGCACCCUUACUUUACGAGUACCUCUUGUUCUCCUUCGGCGGGGCGACCCGCCGCUGGAACCUCAUCAUAAACCUUUUUGCAUCCAGUAUUACCUGUUCUGACAAACGUAAUCGUAACAACUUUCAACAAUGGAUCUCUUGGCUCUGGCAUCGAUGAAGAACGCAGCGAAAUGCGAUAAGUAGUGUGAAUUGCAGAAUUCAGUGAAUCAUCGAAUCUUUGAACGCACAUUGCGCCCCUUGGUAUUCCAUGGGGGAUGCCUGUUCGAGCGUCAUCUACACCCUCAAGCACAGCUUGGUGUUGGGCGUCUGUCCCGCCUCAGCGCGCGGACUCGCCCCAAAGGGAUUGGCAGCGGUCCUAUGCACCUCUCGCGCAGCACAUUGCGCUUCUCGAGGCGACGCAGGCCGCGACCACGAAGCUACCCAACCGUCUUUGACCUCGGAUCAGGGAGGGAUACCCGC
rnacentral:rRNA from 1 species